rnacentral:sRNA from 1 species
ACGAUCUUUUCCGCGCCCAUUACUGUCUGGACAGAUAAUGAUGGGGAGGAGACGCCAGAGAACGGGGGGGGGGGGGGGCUGCACGGAAUUCUGUUAUUAUUUACGGAUUAUGAUUGUGCUUGGCUCGGAACACAGUAUCUGGAAACAGAUGGUUUAAUGUAUUAAGAUUGCUAUUCCUUUGCCAUUUUCUGACUAAAACACCACGUAUUUUUAUUUUCGUGGAAUCGCACGCCACGCCACCUGUUCAUAAAAAGAACAAUGGUUUAUAAAUAAAAAUGAAAAGAUUUUUCACAGGGAUCUCCUCGUAAAUUAUUUUUCUGCAGUUUUCACCCCCCCCCCCCCAACCCGGUCACUGAUCCCUGCCCCUGUUGACCUCCUCUGACCUCUGUGUUUAUCCUGAUGUUACUACAGGGAUGAACGCACCGACGUUCCGGGGUUACCCUACCCAGAGCAGGUUUUUCGAGUGGUAAAUAACCCUACCGGAGCACGGUAGACGAGUGGAGUAGUAAAUACCUGUCCCUGUCUUUUUGUGAAUGAACACAAUCCUAUCCAAGGCCCCAGGCCGUUCACACUCUGUAACACCCUGAUAUACGAUAUACUGUUAUCCCAGGGCGACCCGUACCCAUGCAAAGGCCUAUGUACUCAACACCCUAAUCUUGACCUACACGCAAUUCUUUUCAUCAUUUACUGCUAUAGUAAGUCUUUUUUAUGCCGUUUAUAUACGUUGCUGUAAUAUCAUCAAAGUAGUUUAUAUUUUGCCUAUAGUCGGGGAAGUGUGGAUGAUCGCUAUAUUAGCCUUCUAUUCCAAUGCUGACCUAUAUUUUUAUACCCAUAAAUUUUCUUUGACAUCAGUAAGGUAACCAUGGUAACGGAGUACGUUUGGGGUCUUUAACAAGGUCUAUGGACCAAUACAAUGCCGUUUAAUGGACGAAUCAGGAAAGUCUCAGAGGAAAUUCCUGGGAUAAAAUGGUAUCGUGUAACCUGCCCAGAGGACUGUAUGGAAUCGAAUCCCGGAGUCCGCGCGACUCUAGCGCGGGAAAGUACCUGAUGGCUGGUCAUUGGUCGCCGCUAUCGUCUGCUCAUCCUAAGCCCACUGGGAGUCUAGGACAGUCCUUUGAAAUCCUAAGCUGUGAAGGAUCGGAAACAUUAGGGAACCAGGCGCACUAAAGAACACGAAAACUUGUCGGGACCGAUCGGAAUUUAUCGAUACAUACCGAGGACACGGUGUUGUUUUUCUUCUGAAGGUGACAUUGCAAAUAUGCUAACUAAAAGCAUUGCCUACAUAUCUCCCAGUGCGGUGCACCCUGCUUUACUUUGAUAAGAAACGCUACAUGCGUCUGGUUUCACAGAAAGGAAUUUCGUUUCAUUUUUCUCUCCAUUAAUUCAUAUAAUUUUGUUUAAGAAAUAAAACCUUUAUCUUUUGGUUCAUCAGUGACAAUUC